AACGCGAAGAACCUUACCUGGGUUUGACAUACACGGGAAGCCUGCAGAGAUGUGGGUCUCUUUGAUACUCGUGUACAGGUGGUGCAUGGCUGUCGUCAGCUCGUGUCGUGAGAUGUUGGGUUAAGUCCCGCAACGAGCGCGACCCUCGUUCCAUGUUGCCAGCAAGUAGUGUUGGGGACUCAUGGGAGACUGCCGGGGUCAACUCGGAGGAAGGUGGGGAUGACGUCAAGUCAUCAUGCCCCUUAUGUCCAGGGCUUCACGCAUGCUACAAUGGCCGGUACAAAGGGCUGCGAUCCUGUGAGGGUGAGCGAAUCCCAAAAAGCCGGUCUCAGUUCGGAUUGGGGUCUGCAACUCGACCCCAUGAAGUCGGAGUCGCUAGUAAUCGCAGAUCAGCA
rnacentral:rRNA from 1 species